CCUGGCGGCACUAGCGCGGUGGUCCCACCUGACCCCAUGCCGAACUCAGAAGUGAAACGCCGUAGCGCCGAUGGUAGUGUGGGG
rnacentral:rRNA from 7 species